rnacentral:rRNA from 1 species
UACGUAGGUGACAAGCGUUGUCCGGAUUUACUGGGCGUAAAGAGCGCGCAGGCGGUCGUUCAAGUCGAGUGUGAAAGCCCCCGGCUCAACUGGGGAGGGUCACUCGAUACUGAUCGACUCGAAGGCAGGAGAGGGUAGUGGAAUUCCCGGUGUAGUGGUGAAAUGCGUAGAUAUCGGGAGGAACACCAGUGGCGAAGGCGACUACCUGGCCUGUUCUUGACGCUGACGGCGCGAAAGCUAGGGGAGCAAACGGG